rnacentral:misc_RNA from 1 species
GUACUGAGCAUCCAAGUAGUUCUUUAGUGCAAUAAUACUAGAGUCUGAAUCUCCUACAUUUCCACCAAGACGAUACUUCCGUGCAGAAUGCACUCCAUUAGAAUCAAUGCCCCCAAAAACAUGGUUGGUCUGAUCCAACUUCCUCUUCUUAAUUUCAACUCUGACCAGUCCAUCAUUUGAUACCGAAAACACCAAAGGGGAUAAAAGAAGCAACAAGCACAGCGCAAUUAAACAGGCUCCAUAUCUAGUACCCAUACUUAGCACAGAGAAUCGACACCGAAAAAAUUGAAAAGUUUUAGGUUUUUAGGAGAAACCUAGAAUGAACAAAACAAGAAUGGUGUGUCAACUUAUAGAGCUUUAACUUAGCCAAU